UGGGGAAUUUUGGGACAAUGGGCGCAAGCCUGAUCCAGCCAUGCCGCGUGCGGGAAGAAGGCCUUCGGGUUGUAAACCGCUUUUGUCAGGGAAGAAAUCUUCUGAGUUAAUACCUCGGGAGGAUGACGGUACCUGAAGAAUAAGCACCGGCUAACUACGUGCCAGCAGCCGCGGUAAUACGUAGGGUGCAAGCGUUAAUCGGAAUACUGGGCGUAAAGCGUGCGCAGGCGGUUUUGUAAGACAGAGGUGAAUCCCCGGGCUCAACCUGGGAACUGCCUUUGUGACUGCAAGGCUUGAGUGCGGCAGAGGGGGAUGGAAUUCCGCGUGUAGCAGUGAAAUGCGUAGAUAUGCGGAGGAACACCGAUGGCGAAGGCAAUCCCCUGGGCCUGCACUGACGCUCAUGCACGAAAGCGUGGGGAGCAAACAGGAUUAGAUACCCUGGUAGUCCACGCCCUAAACGAUGUCAACUGGUUGUUGGGAAGGUUCCUUCUCAGUAACGUAGCUAACGCGUGAAGUUGACCGCCUGGGGAGUACGGCCGCAAGGUUGAAA
rnacentral:rRNA from 1 species